GGUGGUGCAGUGGGUCAGUGCAUCUGGCUGUUAAUCAGAAGGUUGGUGGUUUGAGCCUACCCAGGGACA
rnacentral:tRNA from 1 species